rnacentral:ncRNA from 1 species
AAGGUUUCCGUUUCAAUGUUAAUCAGAGACGGGUUAAUCGGUCCUAAGGUCAGUCCGCCGCAAGGCGGGGUAGCCGAUGGAUAACAGGUUAAAAUUCCUGUAUUUGUUUAUGUUUGACAAGUUGAAACUCAAUUUAUUGAGUGUAGAGCCUAUAAGGGGGGACAAAGUGGAAUUUUCUAUUUUCAGGAAAAUCCCCGUGUAGGAAGCAUAAAUAAACCGUACCACAAACCGACACAGGUGGGCGAGUUGAGUAUACAAAGGCGAUCGGGAUAACUAUCCUUAAGGAACUCGGCAACGAAAGCUGGACGUAAGCUAUGCGAGAUGUCCUGUCCUGAGAGAAAUCGAAGGAUUACAACAAAAGACGCUGAGCGACUGUUUAACAAAAACACAGGUCCCUGCUAAUCCGAAAGGAGAUGUAUAGGGGCUGAUACCUGCCCAGUGCCAGUAAUUUACUGUCUCAAGUGACUCCCUCCGCAAGGUCGGGAUGAGCCUGGGGCCUAAGAUCUGGUGAACGGCAGCAGUAACUAUAACUGUUCCAUGGUAGCGAAGUUCCUUGUCUGGUGAGUUCAGACCCGCACGAAAGGUAAAACGACUUAGCGACUGUCUUGAGGAUAGACCCGGCGAAAUUGCAAUGGCUGUGAAGAUGCGGCCUUCCCAUACUUGGACAAAAAGACCCCGUGGAGCUUGUAGCGUAGGAGGGAGCUUCGGCAACAAUGAAACACCUCUCUUUUUUGAAUUUAAAUCUAACCAUAACCCUUAUAAAAACAGGGCAUGGAACAAGGUCUGGCGGGCAGUUUGACUGGGGCGGUCCCCUCCAAAAAAGUAACGGAGGGGUACAAAGGUACACUUAAGCCGUAAGGAAAUCGGCUGUUAAGCGUAAAGGUAUAAAGUGUGCUUGAUAGCAAGACUUACAAGUCGAGCUAGUGCGAAAGCAGGUCUUAAUGAUCCCCCGCCACCUCGAGGGAGGGGUGGGGCUUAUCGGAUAAAAGCUACCCCGGGGAUACAUGUGUGUUCCAGUCCUGAUGUAUAAUUACAUCGGGCUGAAAAAAUAUGGCUAAUAACGGUGAAACCUAAGAGUUGGUGGUUUGGUCUUACCAAAUACAUCGAGACAAUUUUUAGGCAAUACCGUGGGAAGUCGAAGGUAUGGACAAGAUUCAAAAAGCAGUAAUAAUAGGAUCAAUUUUAGGAGAUGGAUUCUUGCAGAAAACUGGUAAGAAUAAUGCUCGUUUAAGGCUAGAACAUAGCUUAAAACAAAAAGAUUAUUUACUCUGGAAGUCUCAAAUUUUAAGUAAUUUCUUUCAGAAAAAACCUGAUAUUUUGGAAAGAACAAAUCUAAAAUUCGGUAAAACUUAUCAGUAUAUUAGAAACCAAUCUUAUUCAGGUUUAGAAUUAGGAAAGUUUCAUAAACUUUUCUAUGUUGAUAACAGGAAAAUAAUUCCAAAUCAAAUCUCUAAACUUUUAGAAGAUCCAUUAUCGCUGGCAGUUUGGUUUAUGGAUGAUGGUUAUUAUUAUCAAAGAGAUAAAAUAGCUUAUAUAUACAUACCCAAAUAUGACCAGGAAUCAAUUAAUAAAUUAUUAAAUGCUUUGAAUUUAAAUUAUGGUUUAAUUCCUCAAUUUAAAAUUAAAAAAAGAGGGGAAUAUGUUUUAAUUUUUACUGUAAAAGAUACGGCAAAAUUAAUGCAAAUUAUCAAACCAUAUAUUAUAAAAUCUAUGUCCUAUAAACUACCUUUUGACCCCGUAUCGACUGAACCUAGUAGCAAGGAGUGAAUAUCCGUUUACUCCUGGGUGAGAUGUGAGGUUAAAUCUUGCAUAAUAUGCCGUAGUCCGACAUAAUGUCGGACAAGAUAUAGUCAGUACUUCGAGCAAUCGGAGAAUAUUUACGAACAGGCUAGUCUUGCCCUACAGUCCACAAGGACGGCAAGGUUCGGCACCUCGAUGUCGGCUCAUCACAGCGCGGGGCUGAAGCAGGUCCCAAGCGUCUGGCUGUUCGCCAGUUAAAGUGGUACGCGAGCUGGGUUCAGAGCGUCGUAAGACAGCUCGGACUCUAUCCAGUAUGGGCGUUUUGAUACUUGAGGGGAGUUAUUUCUAGUACGAGAGGACCGAAAUGAGGGAACCUCUAGUGUGCCUGUUGUAUGUUGAAUGCAACGCAGGGUAGCUACGUUCCUAACUGAUAAGCGCUGAAAGCAUCUAAGCACGAAGCAGGCCCUAAGAUGAGGUAUCUUUUAAGACCCCCCGUAGACUACGGGGUUAAUAGGUUGGCGGUGUAAGCACUGUAAGGUGUUUAGCCUACCAAUACUAAUGGUCACAGUUGAGAUUUU